UUCUUCUUCAGAAACAGAGAGAGAGAAAACUCUCUCAACUCUCUCAUCAGAGGAGAGAAAAACGACACCGUCGGUGGAGCUCGCUGCGGCUCACGGCGGCCGGAGAACUCAGACCACCCCAACUGGAUCAUCUUCUCACCCUCAACUCACCUCUCUAACUGGUUUAGCCUAGAAACACCCCUAGAGCCCUAGAUCUAACUUUAUACCUUUCGAAAUUUUAGAGGAACGUCGACCCUCGGGCUUCCCGAUGCUUCGAACUGCGGAAGAACCCUCUCUCUCUUUUUUCUUAUUUAUUUCUAAUGGUUCGAAUGGGUUUUCUUGUUUUUUCCGGGAUUGGGUUCGAAUAGUCACUGUAGAUGAUAGCGGCAACGUCAGAGGCGGUCGGAGUUGACAGAAACAAAGGACAGCGGUGAUAGAAGCUAAUAUAGGGUUUUAAAAAUGCUAGAGUGAAUCGGGUCGGGUCCUGGGUCACUAGGCCAGUUCGGGUCGGAUCCUGGGCUUGAAUCGGGUCACGGGUUAGCUGGUAAUCUGAUGUGCUGCCUUGGGUUGAUGUUUUUGGGCUCCAGCAUUGGGUUUUGGUCAUUUGUUGGGCCUCGGGUAGACUAAGUCACUUGAUGUUGGGCUGGGUGCUGGGUUUAUAACGGGUCACUGGUGGGAUUAGGCCUGCAAAAUAUAUAUUCUUGUAUUAAUAAUAAUAAUUAAUAAACAUAAUAUUAAUAUUAA